ACCUCAAGCACACCUAUGUCGCCGUUGAAGACAAAUCGAGAGUUCGCGCCGGAAAAAGAGCUAUGAGUUCCAUCAGUUUCAGGUUGUUGGUAGAGGUGUACCUACGGAGUCAGAUCCAGUGACACACGACGGACAUCAGUUUUUAUGAAUACGAUGAAGAAAAUCCAAAAAUAAUAACCAAAUGCGAGCAUCAUUUUCAUUUGUCAUGCAUUCUUGAAUGGAUGGAAAGAAGCGACACUUGGCCCGUCUGUGAUCAGGGGAUGCACCGACUCUUGCCAUCAAAUGUAACAACGUGGUACAUGCAUUGCCAUCUGGUUGAGUUAGUCGGUUGAAAGUCCUGUAUGAAUACAUCAGUUUAAACAAAUCCCAUUCUGGUAGUGAAGGCGGCGGUAAUGACAGUAGUAGUGCCGAUUGUGGUGGUGGUUGGGAUGUGGAGGUGGUGGCGAUAUAAUGGCCAUGGGUAACGUUGUCCUUUUUGGUGCUACUGCUGGAGAAGGGCAAUCUGCAACUACACUUAUCAAGGUUGACUACACUAUUCGCAAGGUCGGCUCACAAGGAAAAAGGUGGUAGCUGUUGCGGUUGGAGUGGUGAGCGUUGCGGUUGGACUCGGCAUACCGAUUUUCUACGGAACGCAGAUUGAUAGUGUUGUGAAAAGCCUAAGUAUUAUUAGAAUUGCAAAACUAUGUAUGGGUGUGUUUGGAUGUGUGUUGAAACUGUAUAAAACUUCAUCGUCUUCUUCGUUCAAGCAGCUCGUACCUCAAUCGUCCACAUCCGCAUCGACAUUUUACGGAGGCUCCGGAAAUGGUCACGGUUCCAGAUCCUGAUAAUUUUAACCUCACUACGUCCUAUUCGAUGUAUUCUCGAGGCGGUUACGGAGCGCUUUGGCCUGUACGUUAUCCGUCUGCUGAUGAGAUGAUUGAUGAGCCGACUGAUGAUGUUCCGAGAUCCAGAGGAGGUGUAAGCCUUUCUGUUACGAUUCGGUUUAGGCCUUUGAGGUAAUUUGACUGAUUUUAGUUAGUUGCAGAUCUUUUUUGAAUUGAGGUUAGUGGUAAAUGAAGUGUUUGUUUUAGUUUGUAUGGUAUUAAGACAAUGUUGUGUUAAUCUGGUGAAUUUGUGGUGAUUGUAGUGAGAGAGACUACAUCUAAGGCAUGAGUCAUGUGAGUAGCCAAGAUAUAGACAACACCAUGACCAUACAAGCAAAGCCAGGUCUACUAAUUUUUGAAACAAAUGUACAAAGAGAAAAUGGAAAGUCUAGAAUCCAACCAUGUGUAGGGUUAGAGUUUGACAUAACAGAAGCAGCCCAAGAAUACCAUACUUAUGCGACUCAAGCCAGACUCAAAAUUAGAAUUGGUCAACUUCAACAAGAUCUGCAAAGUCAGAAAUUGAGGAGUAAUACUUUUUGACUUAACGCAAGUGCGAUAUUUACGGAGCACAUGUCAAACCUACAAAUAAAACAACUAAUGUUGUAUAUAAAGAGAUCUUCAAUGAGUUAA
rnacentral:lncRNA from 1 species